UGGUUUCUCCCUUCUGACGAACCAAGAUGUCAUUAAUUUGGUGUCUUGGGGAAUCAGGACUGUUACUUUGAAAAAAUUAGAGUGUUUAAAGCAGGCUCGCGCUUGAAUACAUUAGCAUGGAAUAAUGAAAUAGGACGUUUGAUUCUAUUUUGUUGGUUUCUAGGAUCGACGUAAUGAUUAAUAGGGAUAGUUGGGGGCAUUAGUAUUCAAUUGUCAGGGGUGAAAUUCUUGGAUUUAUUGAAGACUAACUACUGCGAAAGCAUUUGCCAAGGAUGUUUUCAUUAAUCAAGAACGAAAGUUAGGGGAUCGAAGACGAUCAGAUACCGUCGUAGUCUUAACCAUAAACUAUGCCGACUAGGGAUCGGAUGAUGUUAAUUUUUUAAUGACUCAUUCGGCGCCUUACG
rnacentral:rRNA from 1 species